rnacentral:rRNA from 1 species
AGAGUUUGAUCCUGGCUCAGAUUGAACGCUGGCGGCAUGCCUUACACAUGCAAGUCGAACGGCAGCACGGGGGCAACCCUGGUGGCGAGUGGCGAACGGGUGAGUAAUGCAUCGGAACGUACCUGGUAGUGGGGGAUAGCUCGGCGAAAGCCGGAUUAAUACCGCAUACGCACCAAGGUGGAAAGCGGGGGACCGAAAGGCCUCGCGCUAUCAGAGCGGCCGAUGUCGGAUUAGCUUGUUGGUGAGGUAAAAGCUCACCAAGGCCGCGAUCCGUACCUGGUCUGAGAGGACGACCAGGCACACUGGGACUGAGACACGGCCCACACUCCUACGGGAGGCAGCAGUGGGGAAUUUUGGACAAUGGGCGAAAGCCUGAUCCAGCAAUGCCGCGUGUGUGAAGAAGGCCUUCGGGUUGUAAAGCACUUUUGUCCGGAAAGAAAUCUCCUGGGUUAAUACCUCGGGGGGAUGACGGUACCGGAAGAAUAAGCACCGGCUAACUACGUGCCAGCAGCCGCGGUAAUACGUAGGGUGCGAGCGUUAAUCGGAAUUACUGGGCGUAAAGCGUGCGCAGGCGGUUAUGCAAGACAGGUGUGAAACCCCCGGGCUCAACCUGAGAACUGCACUUGUGACUGCAUGACUAGAGUGCGUCAGAGGGGAGGUGGAAUUCCGCGUGUAGCAGUGAA